GGGCCAGUAGCUCAGCGGUAGAGCAGGGGACUCUUAAUCCCUUGGUCGUGGGUUCGAAUCCCUCCUGGCUCACUA
rnacentral:tRNA from 1 species